rnacentral:rRNA from 1 species
GGAUCAGCAGGUUGGUCUUGCCACUGGUAUGUACUAGCUUGCUGAUUCCUCCUUCUUGUAGAACCGUAAUGCCAUUAAUUUGGUGUUGCGGGGAAACAGGACUGUUACUUUGAAAAAAUUAGAGUGUUUAAAGCAGGCUAGCGCCUGAAUACAUUAGCAUGGAAUAAUGAAAUAGGACGUUCGAACCUAUUUUGUUGGUUUCUAGGAUUGACGUAAUGAUUAAUAGGGAUAGUUGGGGGCAUUAGUAUUCAAUUGUCAGAGGUGAAAUUCUUGGAUUUAUUGAAGACUGACUACUGCGAAAGCAUUUGCCAAGGAUGUUUUCAUUAAUCAAGAACGAAAGUUAGGGGAUCGAAGACGAUCAGAUACCGUCGUAGUCUUAGCCAUAAACUAUGCCGACUAGGGAUCGGAUGAUGUUAAUUUUUUAAUGACUCAUUCGGCGCCUUACGGGAAACCAAAGUGUUUGGGUUCCGGGGGGAGUAUGGUCGCAAGGCUGAAACUUAAAGGAAUUGACGGAAGGGCACCACCAGGGGUGGAGCCUGCGGCUUAAUUUGACUCAACACGGGGAAACUCACCAGGUCCAGACAUAGUAAGGAUUGACAGAUUGAGAGC